rnacentral:rRNA from 1 species
GACGAACGCUGGCGGCGUGCUUAACACAUGCAAGUCGAACGGAAAGGCCCCUUCGGGGGUACUCGAGUGGCGAACGGGUGAGUAACACGUGAGUAACCUGCCCUUGACUUCGGGAUAACUUCAGGAAGCUGGGGCUAAUACCGGAUAGGAAUCCUUGCUGCAUGGUGGGGGUUGGAAAGCUUCGGCGGUUUUGGAUGGACUCGCGGCUUAUCAGCUUGUUGGUGGGGUAGUGGCUUACCAAGGCUUUGACGGGUAGCCGGCCUGAGAGGGCGACCGGCCACAUUGGGACUGAGAUACGGCCCAGACUCCUACGGGAGGCAGCAGUGGGGAAUAUUGCACGAUGGGCGGAAGCCUGAUGCAGCAACGCCGCGGGCGGGAUGACGGCCUUCGGGUUGUAAACCGCUUUCAGCAGGGGCGAAGCUUGUGGUGACGGUACCUGCAGAAGAAGCACCGGCUAACUACGUG